CCGGCCACACUGGGACUGAGACACGGCCCAGACUCCUACGGGAGGCAGCAGUGGGGAAUAUUGCACAAUGGGCGAAAGCCUGAUGCAGCAACGCCGCGUGAGGGAUGACGGCCUUCGGGUUGUAAACCUCUUUUAGCAGGGAAGAAGCGAAAGUGACGGUACCUGCAGAAAAAGCGCCGGCUAACUACGUGCCAGCAGCCGCGGUAAUACGUAGGGCGCAAGCGUUAUCCGGAAUUAUUGGGCGUAAAGAGCUCGUAGGCGGUUUGUCGCGUCUGCUGUGAAAUCCCGAGGCUCAACCUCGGGCCUGCAGUGGGUACGGGCAGACUAGAGUGCGGUAGGGGAGAUUGGAAUUCCUGGUGUAGCGGUGGAAUGCGCAGAUAUCAGGAGGAACACCGAUGGCGAAGGCAGAUCUCUGGGCCGUAACUGACGCUGAGGAGCGAAAGGGUGGGGAGCAAACAGGCUUAGAUACCCUGGUAGUCCACCCCGUAAACGUUGGGAACUAGUUGUGGGGUCCAUUCCACGGAUUCCGUGACGCAGCUAACGCAUUAAGUUCCCCGCCUGGGGAGUACGGCCGCAAGGCUAAAACUCAAAGGAAUUGACGGGGACCCGCACAAGCGGCGGAGCAUGCGGAUUAAUUCGAUGCAACGCGAAGAACCUUACCAAGGCUUGACAUAUACGAGAACGGGCCAGAAAUGGUCAAC
rnacentral:rRNA from 1 species